AGUAAGGAAUAUUGCGCAAUGGACGACAGUCUGACGCAGCGACGCCGCGUGGGGGAUGAAGGUCUUCGGAUUGUAAACCCCUUUCGGGUGGAAAGAUGGCUCUCGACAACGAGAGCGGACGGUACCACCAGAAGCAGCCACGGCCAACUUCGUGCCAGCAGCUGCGGUAAUACGAAGGUGGCAAGCGUUGUUCGGAUUCACUGGGCGUACAGGGUGUGUAGGCGGUUCGGUAAGCCCUCUGGGAAAGCUCCUGGCUCAACCGGGAAAGUUCAGGGGGGACUGCCGGGCUAGAGGACGGGAGAG
rnacentral:rRNA from 1 species